AGAGUGAAGUCGGGCGGCAGGGGUGCUGCCAACCCCGUCAGGCCCGAGAGGGAGCAGCGGUAACAGUUACUUCUGGGUGCCCGGCUUCUCUAACAG
rfam:Desulfoplanes formicivorans DNA, contig: NODE_4, strain: Pf12B.